rnacentral:lncRNA from 1 species
CUUAUCCUUGUGAAAGACCUAUGUCUAUGGUUGUGGUUGAGCCAUUAAAUCUCCCUAACCAAGAUGUAGAGAAGUUGGAAGACGCCCUCGCCAAGAUGAAGCAAGAGAAAGAUAUGUGGGAAGAGCAUUUCCGUGCUUUGAGCAAGAAGCAUGAAGAGUUGCAGUUGGAGUCUAAGGACAAAGAUGCACUUAUUGAGCUACUUGAAGACCGAGUGACGAAGAGACAGAGUGAGCC